rnacentral:rRNA from 1 species
UGGGCCGGACCCGGCGCGACGGGGUGAAGUAAACAACGUAUACCCAACCUCGCCGAUAACGUCGGGGAUAGUCCUUUAAAAGAAAGAUUAAUAUCCGAUAGCAUAUCAAUCCCGCGUGAGAUUGAUAUUAAAGAAUUUCGGUUAUCGAUGGGGAUGCGUUCCAUUAGUUUGUUGGCGGGGUAACGGCCCACCAAGACUACGAUGGAUAGGGGUUCUGAGAGGAAGGUCCCCCACAUUGGAACUGAGACACGGUCCAA